UUUAAGGUCCUUCAAGCCCAUUUUGGCCAGCUCAUCUCCCACCAACUUUCUAAGGAAUUGAGAAGGUUGUGGGCAUCAUCUGUGCAUGCUAAUCCAAGAUUGCAAAAUGGUGGAGCACAUUGUGAACCUUGCUGGGAACAAAACUCUAGUUCUGCCUGUGCCUGCAUUUAACGUCAUCAAUGGAGGAUCACAUGGUUUCACUGUCAACCUGAAUUUUGCGAACCUUGCUAGGAACAGAACUUGGACAUAUUUCCAAGGGGGGUAAAACCCAAAGGCAGGGGAGCUCCGAAGAAGGCUCCUGCUA